UCCCCUAAAUCAAGGACCUUUCUACUGGAC
rnacentral:piRNA from 1 species